rnacentral:lncRNA from 1 species
GUUCAACGCAAUGUUUCCGAGUUCUUAGCCCAUUUGGGACCCAAUUUCAACAAGUCUUUCUACGCACUUCUAAACAUUCUUCAUGCAUCUGUAGCACUUUUAAUCAAUAAAAUUGAUUGUAUUCUAACAUAUUCUAACCCCAAACAACAGUAGAUAAGUCAUUUAGUGGUUCAACUCAAUGUUUUCGAGUUCUUAGGCCAUUUGGGACCCAAUUUCAACAAGUUUUUCUACACACUUCCAAACACUCUUCAUGCAUCUCUAGCACUUGUAAUCAAUCAAAGUUAUUGAAUUCUAACAUAUUCUGACCCCAAAAAACACUAGAUAAGUCAUUUAGUGGUUCAACGCAAUAUUUCCGAUUUCUUAACCCAUUUGGGACCCAAUUUCAACAAGUCUUUCUACACACUUCUAAACACUCUUCAUGCAUCUCUAGCAUUUGUAAUCAAUCAUAUUCAUUGUAUUCUAACAUAUUCUAACCCCAAACAACACUAGAUAAGUCAUUUAGUUGUUCAACGCAAUGUUUCCGACUUCUUAGCCCAUUUAGGACCCAAUUUCAACAAGUCUUUCUCCAUACUUGAAAACACUAUUCAUGCCUCUCUAGCACUUGUAAUCAAUCAAGUGUAUUGUUUUCUACCAUAUUCUAACCCCAAAAAACAGUAGAUAAAUCAUU